GCCAGCAUGGCAUAGUGGUUUGUGUAUUGGACUAGGACUAUGGAGACUAGGGUUUGAUUCCCCAUUCAGCCA